GACGAACGCUGGCGGCGUGCUUAGCACAUGCAAGUCGAGCGGUAAGGGCCCUUUCGGGGGUACACGAGCGGCGAACGGGUGAGUAACACGUGGGUGACCUGCCCUCAGCUCUGGGAUAAGCCCGGGAAACUGGGUCUAAUACUGGAUAUGACUCCACGGUGCAUGCCGUGGGGUGGAAAGCCUUGUGCGGCUGAGGAUGGGCCCGCGGCCUAUCAGCUUGUUGGUGGGGUGAUGGCCUACCAAGGCGACGACGGGUAGCCGGCCUGAGAGGGCGACCGGCCACACUGGGACUGAGACACGGCCCAGACUCCUACGGGAGGCAGCAGUGGGGAAUAUUGCACAAUGGGCGAAAGCCUGAUGCAGCGACGCCGCGUGAGGGAUGACGGCCUCGGUUGUAACUAC
rnacentral:rRNA from 1 species